CUUGCUUUCUCGAGCGAGUGGCGAACGGGUGAGUAACGCGUGAGGAACCUGCCUCAAAGAGGGGGACAACAGUUGGAAACGACUGCUAAUACCGCAUAAGCCCACAGCUCGGCAUCGAGCAGAGGGAAAAGGAGCAAUCCGCUUUGAGAUGGCCUCGCGUCCGAUUAGCUAGUUGGUGAGGUAACGGCCCACCAAGGCGACGAUGCAUAGCCGGACUGAGAGGUUGACCGGCCACAUUGGGACUGAGAUACGGCCCAGACUCC
rnacentral:rRNA from 1 species